UUCUCUUUGGAGACAUCCGAUAAAAUUGGAACGAUACAUAGCAGAUUAGCAUGACCUCUGCGCAAGGAUUAGAAGAUUAACAAGUUGAGAAUUCUGU
rnacentral:snRNA from 1 species